rnacentral:rRNA from 1 species
UGACGGUAUCUAACCAGCAAGUCACGGCUAACUACGUGCCAGCAGCCGCGGUAAUACGUAGGUGGCAAGCGUUAUCCGGAUUUAUUGGGCGUAAAGGGAACGCAGGCGGUUUUUUAAGUCUGAUGUGAAAGCCUUCGGCUCAACCGAAGAAGUGCAUCGGAAACUGGGGAACUUGAGUACAGAAGAGGGCAGUGGAACUCCAUGUGUAGCGGUGGAAUGCGUAGAUAUAUGGAAGAACACCAGUGGCGAAGGCGGCUGCCUGGUCUGUAACUGACGCUGAGACUCGAAAGCAUGGGUAGCGAACAGGAUUAGAUACCCUG